UUCCCGUGGAGCUACUAUUCCUGAUCCAGUCUCCCAGACCUUUGGGGAUGUCUGCCCUCUAGGACACUACUGCCCAGAGGGUAGUGGGUUGCCCAGGCCCUGUCCUGUGGGUAGCUACCUUCCAGAGAGGGGUGCUCCAUCCCCCUCCCGCUGCUACCCUUGUCCCCCAGGAAGAUACUGCCUCAACCCAGGCUCCUCACAAUUCACAGGUCCUUGCUCCCCUGGUUUCUACUGUAGUGGAGGUGCAGACAGUGCUACACCCCAGGCUAACUCCUCCCAGCUCAGCUGCCUUUGUGGCAUGAUAAAGGUCCAUCCUACUAAUCAAGACCUUUGUUCCUGGUUACACAACACUUCCUGCUCACCUAACAGUAUAGAAACAGAUGGCGAUGGGAGCUGGAUGGAUGUCGUAACUAGGCCAUGGUCAGGUCAGGCCUUGGCCGACUCUACACCUCAUCCCAGGAGCCCACUUUAUAAAUGUGCUAACUUCAAAGGC